UAAGCGGAGGAAAAGAAACUAACAAGGAUUCCCCUAGUAACUGCGAGUGAAGCGGGAAAAGCUCAAAUUUAAAAUCUGGCGGUCUUUGGCCGUCCGAGUUGCAAUUUAGAGAAGCGUCUUCCGCGCCGGACCGUGCACAAGUCUCCUGGAAUGGAGCGUCAUAGAGGGUGAGAAUCCCGUCUUUGGCACGGAUGCCUGGUGCUUCUGUGAUGCGCUCUCGAAGAGUCGAGUUGUUUGGGAAUGCAGCUCAAAAUGGGUGGUGAACUCCAUCUAAAGCUAAAUAUUGGCGAGAGACCGAUAGCGAACAAGUACCGUGAGGGAAAGAUGAAAAGCACUUUGGAAAGAGAGUGAAACAGUACGUGAAAUUGUUGAAAGGGAAACGCUUGAAGUCAGUCGCGUCGACCGAGACUCAGCCUUGCCUCGGCUUGGUGUACUUCUCGGCCCGACGGGUCAGCAUCAAUUUUGGCCCUCGGAUAAUGGCAGAGGAAAGGUGGCACCUUUACGGGUGUGUUAUAGUCUCCUGUCGCAUGCGAGGGGUGGGAUUGAGGAACUCAGCGCGCACCCCAGUGUCGGGGCUUCGGCCCACGUCACGCGCUUAGGAUGCUGGCGUAAUGGCUUUAAACGACC
rnacentral:rRNA from 1 species